ensembl:lncRNA
AUAGGGUCCAUCGUUUAAUACCCUUCAUAGGAAGCGGAAUACCAAAUGACUUCGUAUUACACGUAGUGCACUAUGUAGGGUAUAGGGUCCACUGUUUAAUACCCUUCAUAGGAAGCAGAAUACCAAAUGGCUUCGUAUUACACAUAGUGCACUAUGUAGGGUAUAGGGUCCACUGUUUAAUACCCUUCAUAGGAGGCGGAAUACCAAAUGGCUUCGUAUUGGACGUAGUGCACUAUGUAGGGUAUAGGGUCCACUGUUUAAUACCCUUCAUAGGAAGCGGAAUACCAAAUGGCUUCGUAUUACACGUAGUGCACUAUGUAGGGUAUAGGGUCCAUCGUUUAAUACCCUUCAUAGGAGGCGGAAUACCAAAUGGCUUCGUAUUACACAUAAUGCACUAUGUAGGGUAUAGGGUCCACUAUUUGAUACCCUUCAUAGGAAGCGGAAUACCAAAUGGCUUCGUAUUGGACGUAGUGCACUAUGUAGGGUAUAGGGUCCACUGUUUGAUACCCUUCUUAGGAAGCGGAAUACCAAAUGGCUUCGUAUUGGACGUCCACAAGAUGUCCGCAUCCAGAGGCGGGACAUGUAUGGUUCUAGAGAGUAUUUAAUUGGACGAUCACAAACUUCUUACUACUUAUGAAUAAUAAUAAUAAUUUUUUUUUUUUAAACAGUAAUGAGCUAUAAAAUUAAAAUGAGAACAUCUCCGAAGCUAUUUGUAUCCCCCCCAACUGGUGUGUAUAACCCUAAAUACAGAAAGCUCCUUGAUUUCAGGGGCCCUUUAAAACAAGUUCCCAGGACAACAAGUAAGCCAAGGCCAAGCGAAAGCUCCGGUGUGUUGCUCAGUCCCAUGGAGAUCUAACUGACUAGCUUCAAAAUGUUCGCUAACGUACACACCAUAUGAAAUAACGCAUGGUGAGCUAGUUAGCUAAUCAAGAGCGUCAAUACAGACACAAACACGUAUAUAAAGUCGUCGUCCUGAUCGUUUUCAGGUGGGUCGUGCCGCCAUUUUGUUUCAACAUAGACCCCAAGUAAUAAUUUGUUUUCGCUAAAGUCAGUAGAGAGUACGGUUUAUUUUCUCGCGUUGGGUAACGUGAGAAAGGAGCGCGGUUAAACGAGUGGAUAAAACUGUCCAGUAAUCUCAACUCGCAGGUUAAAUCUGACAGGAUUAGUGCUGUUAUUAGCGUAAGGAAAGUAUUAUUAAUACUUUUAUGAAGUAAUAAUAAAUAAAAACAAAACGACUGUGUUCAGAGAGCUUGUGGUUUUCACACACACACCUUUUAACCUCGGCGAUUCCCUCACACACUUUCAGGUUCGGCAGACAAUCACGCGACGUCUCUAACGCUCUGAUACGCCGAGAGCCGAGUUCUCGUGUCUCGCACGUUGACCCGACUGUGAUGGAGGGGGCGGAGUCAGAGUCAGGUGAUCAGGGUUCCUCUCAGACUGGUUUAAACAACUACUUAAAGUGAAAGCGAGUCUGUUUGAGUGCAGAAAGAGGAACAUGGACAAAUACACACACACACACGCGCACACACACUCACACACUCACAGAGUGUAUUUAAGCAGGUGCAACAUGUAGUGUAAAUGAAGCCUAAAAAUCCAAAUCGUAGUGAUUUUCAUAUGCUAAGGAUCAUCCAGACAGACAAAGUGAGAGAGGGCGAGCGAGAGAGUGAGACAGUGUGAGAGACGACGAUGGUGAGAGUGAGAGAGGCAGAUGGUAAGAGAGACAGGUUGAGAGUGUGAGAGAGACAGUGAGAAUGAGAGAGAUAGCAGCCCAGCUCUGUGUGUGUGUGUGUGUGUGUGUGUGUGUGUGUGUGUGUGUGUGUGUGUGUUUUGACUGCCAUCAGACCUUUGAUCUCAUGUUGUGUGUCUGCACAGAGAGAGCGAGGCAGAGAGAGAGCGAGAGACCGACAGAGUGAGAGACAGAGUGAGAGCGAAAAAGACAGAGCGAGAGACAGACAGCGAGAGACA